rnacentral:lncRNA from 1 species
AGCCGUCCGCCUUUUCCCUUUCCCCUUUACAUCCCCUCCUCCACUGCAGCUGCCCUGCUGCCCCCUCCUCGGCGAGGCGCCUCACGAGCGCCGCGAGGUCAGCACGGGAGGCGCGCCCGCACGAGCUCCGCGAGGGAGGUGGCCAGUACGGCGAGGCGCCGUGCCCGCAUGAGCGCCGUGAGGUCAAAGUGCAGCGGCGGCCAAUACGGGGAGGCGCAGCGACCGCUCGGGCUCCGCGAGGUCCAGGGGCGGAAGCAGCCAAUACGGCGAGCGGUGCCUGUCCGGCGACCAUACGGCCUCCGCGGCGUGCUCGACCUUGCUCCUACGCCUCCUACCCGGGCUAGACAUCCCCCCGUGCGUUGUCCCCACCCGCAUCACCAAGCUCCCCAACGGCGUCCGCGAUCCCCGUCGCCUCCGAGGACUUCCAGGUACUACCCACCUCUCCCUCCCCUCUUCCUUCUGAUGAGUCCAUGGCUGACAGCGGCCACCGUCUCCGAGCUCACGAACACCCAGAUUUGACAGGGAGCAGCACAGGGAUGGCGAUUUUGUUAGCUCUGCUCUGAUGAUGCCGUCAGAGCACAACUUGCUCGUUUUCAGCAUGAGGAAGAAGAUGAUUUGACAGGGAGCAACACAGCUUGCUUGUUUUGUUUCUCUGUAGCAAGUUAUUCUAUAAAUACUGAACACUAUGCAAGGAAAUCAGCAGCUGCCAUUGUUCAAGAAUGUACUAAUUCUCUGAACAUUGUUUUGUUUUUCUAUAGCAAGUUAUUUCUAUAAAUACUGAACACUGCAAGGAAAUCAGCAGCUUUCAUUGUUAAGAGAAUGAGCUAAUUCUCUGAAAAUCUUUUUGUUUUUCUGUAGCAAAAUAUUGUAUGAAUUAUGAACAUUUGUGCAAAGAAAUUGUUGCUCCUUUGGAUCGAUGCCCGGAGGCGGGACUGACUGACUCACUGAUGUUUCUUCAUCCACAACAAUGUUCAGAUUAACACCGAGGCUCCCUGCCGUUCACAGC